AAUCAUUCAUCGAAUCCAUCCAGGGCAUAAUGACAAUUCCUGCAGCAUUCCCUACAGUUAUGUAUUUAUUUACCCUGCUUCAUAGUCCCACUACCUGGUCUCUAUGUCUUCAAGCAAAUGACGAUCCGCAAAACACAGAUUUAAUGUCAAUGGUCUUGCGCGAGUAUGAUGAAACCAGCGAGUCAUGGAUUACAAGAGAUUCGGUACCAGUCAAAACAUGCACCCAAUUAGAAAUAAAAGAUAUUGACGGGGCUGUCUUCAUUUUUCUGUUGACAAAAGAUUUCAAUGAGGAGCCACAAAUGAACAUGUAUUCAAUUAUUGACUCGAGAUUUUUUUUGAGCCAGACCUCCAGCGUGGGAAAAAUUCAUUUUCUUACAGUUUGGUGCUGGAAAUCACACAACUUUGUUCAAGUUCAACGAGGAAUUGCAAUCUUUCGAGGUUCAUCAAUUGCUGUCAAUGUCGAACUGUUCGAAUAUAGAAUUUUGAAUGCAUGUCAUCAGAAUUUUCAAAACCAGAGCAGUUCUUAGUGAUCACUGGCCUCCAUGGUGAUCAGGAGAAUAGCCCCAUUUCAAGAAUUUACAAACUUCACAACGAGUACUUUUAUCCUUUCCAAACGAUUAUCUUGGAUUACGUCCAACAAUGGAUGAUGUAUGGAUCUGCCGGCGAGUCAAUUUUACAUGCAGCAACGAGAUACUCUGGGAUUCACCUUUUUGAGUAUGACGGGCGUAAAUUUUCAAAAACGGACCGUUUUUUGGAGACGGCUGUUAUCAGUCAUAUCUCUAAAUGUACGAUGAAUGGGACAGAAGCUUUAGUCUUGGCAGAUAGAAGCAACGAUGGAACGCAUCCCAACGUAUUUCAAAUACGACUUAUCAGCGCUGAUAUUCUGAAAAGCAUAGCCGAAACGUACGAUGAAUGGCACUCAGAGAUGACGCGUGACCUUAAGACUAUUGCUGAACAGUUAAAGCACUUGGAGGAAUCACUGAAAUCAGCCCCACGAGUCGACUCCUCAGAAAUUGUGAUUGAUGGAACAUUGGAGUUUUCAGCCCUUCACGGAGAUCAAUUAGUUUUGAUUCAGCCUGAGGGAGAGUCAUUGAAUGAUACGCGAGAGAAGGAGUUUGCUGAGGAGCUUGAAAGUGAGCUGACUGAACUUAAAAUUAUAGAAACAUUUGUAAACAAACUGGUGAAUGGCGGAGGAAAGUUUAUUGUUGACGGCGACUUGUUUUUGGACCAAUUUGAGCUAAACUGCAUCGAGGAAUGCGACUUGAACAUUUUAUCGAUCACAAAUUUAAAUGGCGAGGAUUUCGAUACCCUUAUUGAUAACACCGUUAACAUAGACAGCCCAGGCAGUUAUAACGCUCUCAACUUUGAGAACAUAGCAGUCUCCCUCAAUCUUAACACGGUGUCCAUCAACGGACAUACGGCCACAAGUCUUGUCCAUCAUGGAAGAGAUAAUUUGUUCAGAAAUGGUUUGCGGUUGGAUUCGAUUGCUAUCUCCGACAAACUGAGUGUUCAGAGAAUGAUCAAUGGAAUUAAGAUGGACUCACAUUCAGUUUUAUUGGUUUCUGGUGAUCAGACCCUUAAUGGUUCUCUAAUUUUCAAAGAAGGAACUGUAGAAACCUUAUACUGCGUUAAGAACUUAUGGAACAAUUCAAAUAUCAGUGAUUGUUGUGGUAGAAACUAAGUAUAAGCCUAUGGACACAAAGCUCCACACACUAUUCCGUCAACAAUUUUUCUAGCAUCUAAAAACUACCAUCUGCUAGUUGUAACAGAAUUAUUUUACUCUGAAAAUUAAUUUCGAAAUGUUCGGAGAUCGUGGUCUCAAUGGCAGAAAAUAUAAGUUAGGAAGUGAAAAUUGAGACCUUGAUCUCAGUUAAAAAUUAAUUUGCUGUAUCUAUGAAAAUAUGUAGUCUAGUUAUUUAUUGUUUUAGUUGUUAAUAAUGUACCUCAACUUAUCUAGUCAAAAAUUUGUCUUUUCUUAGAUUGAUUUUGAAAAUUAGUGAAAGUCAUAGUAUCUGAACAUUGGAGUAAUCGUUGUUGUGGGCUGCUAUAAUGAUUAUUUUGUUAAAUAUGUUUACUGGAUUUUUUUUUUCAUUUAAAUAUUUAUUUCUAAAUCCUCCAAAACUGCACAUCGAUAAGAGUCAAUAUUCCUAUCAGAUCACAUAGAAGAUUAAGCUGAGGAGAGGACAAGAAAUAUUGUAGGCUUUUCGAGGAAAAGAAACUGUAUUUCCAAAAAUAAAAAAGGAAGAAAAAUCGCUGUUAAAGAAGAUAACUUUCUUUUUGUAAAUUUAGUAAUCAGUUACACACGACACGUUUUAAACAUCAGUCCAAUUAAGCAAGUUUAAUCUUAAGGAGGAUUAUUUUUUUAAAAGAGUCAGUAGCAAUUCAUACACAUUGUCCUUGAAUCAAAUUUUUGAAAUCCCAUCCACGUAUACAACGCUUUUUUUAUUAUUGAGAACUUACAGAUUGGAAUAGGUGUCUCCACCCUAAAUAAAAAGAGCCAUACAAAUUAAAACUAUACUUACUGGCACCAGGGGAGAAUUGGGCACUAUAAAUGCAUUAACAUCAAGAUAUCCACUUCUAAAAUGAGUUUUGAUCAAAAUCGGAUGAAAAAUUAUUCCAAGAAUCAAACUUACUCUGUAGAUACUAUUUAUUUAUUAUAUAUUACAAAUCCAUAUUCGCCGGUCAUAAAUACCCCUUUUUACAAAGAAAAAUGAAAACGCCUUAUUUUUUCCUGUAAAUAUUUCGAAUUUAUGCGUUCCACUAAACUCAAAAUCUAACCACACGCUGGAAAUCUAUUGAUGGACUUUUCCCCGCGAUUAAAUAUUCAAUUAUUCUCUUUUAUUCAGUUUUUCCUCUAAUCAUAAAUACAUUCUUAUUUUUUACCAACACCUUCCAAAUAUGUUUCUUUUUUUUUGUAGCAAACUUUUUAACCUAAGUACAGAGGUGAUAGUAGCCCUAGUUGCUAUGGCACCGCUCUAAAAUAAACGAAUAUUAGUACCACUACAUUAACGUAUCUCAUAAAACUAUAAAUUUCAACCGAUCGGGUUUAUGGUGGGUGAGAGUCUCGCGGAAGUUCCAGAGCUGAGGGCCGAUGAUUAAAAUUGAUAGACAAAGCUAUAGACAAAGAAGACAAAAGAGAUAAGUAGGGAUCGCCUAUUGGUGGA
rnacentral:lncRNA from 1 species